rnacentral:rRNA from 1 species
UACGGAGGGUGCGAGCGUUGUCCGGAAUCACUGGGCGUAAAGCGCACGUAGGCGGCUUUCUAAGUCGGGGGUGAAAUCCUGGAGCUCAACUCCAGAACUGCCUUCGAUACUGGAGAGCUUGAGUCCGGGAGAGGUGAGUGGAACUGCGAGUGUAGAGGUGAAAUUCGUAGAUAUUCGCAAGAACACCAGUGGCGAAGGCGGCUCACUGGCCCGGUACUGACGCUGAGGUGCGAAAGCGUGGGGAGCAAACAGGG